ACACGGGGAAACUUGUGCUAAUACCGAAUAAGCCUUUACAGGGAAAGUUUUAACGCCGAAAGAUGAGCCCGCACUUGAUUAGCUAGUUGGUAAGGUAAAAGCUUACCAAGGCAACGAUCAAUAGCUGUUCUUAGAGGAAGACCAGCCACAUUGGGACUGAGACACGGCCCAGACUCCUACGGGAGGCAGCAGUGGGGAAUCUUGCACAAUGGGGGAAACCCUGAUGCAGCGAUGCCGCGUGAGUGAAGAAGGCCCUUGGGUUGUAAAACUCUUUCGUCGGGGAAGAAAAUGACUGUACCCGAAUAAGAAGGUCCGG
rnacentral:rRNA from 1 species